CAGUAGCCGCGGGAAAACGAAGGGUGCAAGCGUUACUCGGAAUUACUGGGCGUAAAGCGUGCGUAGGUGGUGGUUUAAGUCCGUUGUGAAAGCCCUGGGCUCAACCUGGGAAUUGCAGUGGAUACUGGGUCACUAGAGUGUGGUAGAGGAUAGUGGAAUUUCCGGUGUAGCAGUGAAAUGCGUAGAGAUCGGAAGGAACAUCUGUGGCGAAGGCGACUAUCUGGGCCAACACUGACACUGAGGCACGAAAGCGUGGGGAGCAAACAGGAUUAGAUACCCGUGUAGUCCCUGUCUCUUAUAC
rnacentral:rRNA from 1 species